CCAAGAGUGAACUGUAAGGUAAACUCUGGACUUUGGAUGAUAACAACAUAUCAAUGUAGGUUCAUCAGUCCUAACAAAUGUACCGCUCUGGUGUCCAGAUGGAUAGCAAGGCUGCCAGUGGAAGGGAGCUCUCUUCUUGCCUAUGAGACACCUGCCCAGAAGAGCUACCUACUCCAGGAGUGGGCAAGACAGGAACUUCGGUGAAGGGUUUUAUCCAGAUGGCAGAUAGCAUUCAGCACACUAAGAGUUGACUCUUCUAUUCUUACCACUUCAUGGGAAAAAAAAUCCAGGCUCCCAAAGGUCAGACAAUGCCACCUCAGCACCUUGCAGCUGAUGGCCACAGGAGAAGUGGACUCCAGGAUUGGCUACCAUCUCCAAAGUCUGCAUUCUCGCCAGUUUAUCCAGACAGUGUUUUUUUGUUUUGUUUUGUUUUUGUUUUUUUUUUAAAAAAAGCAUGUCUCCCACUUUUGUGUUUAUAAAAAUUCUAAGGUCAGUCUUACAACUAUCAUCCUUAGUCCUUAUGCCAAUGGUAAUAACUCAUGGUCAAGACAUUUUUCCUCCAGGAACCACAAGUGUGUGCCUUUGCUCUCCCAACAGACAGGCUCUGUUCAGGGAGUCGACUGACAGCAGGAGAAAUGCCUCCUACGGGCCUGGGGAGGGAGUAGGAGAGAAUCUUGCAGAGCUGCAAGUCUUAGGAAUACUGAUUUUACGUAUCAAACCUACUGCCCGAGCAGCCACCGGAAGAUCAGAGUGAGGGAACGGACGUAAGAAAAGAAAGGUAUUAGGGUUUGUCCUUUUUUCUUUUCAGUCCU